UGACUCUGAUCUUCCUGCUUCCCUCCAAUAAGGAACCCUGUGAUCACACUGAGCUCACCUACAUAAUCCAAGAUAAUUUCCCCAUUGUAAAAUUCUUAGUCUCAUCUGCAAAAUCUCCUUUGCCAUAUAAGGUAACACAAUCACAGAUGCUGAGAACUAAGAAGUAGACAUAUAUAAGGGUCAUUAUGCAGCCAGUCACAGGAUCCAAGUGUCAGGGCACAAAAAUGAAAAUGGCUUUGCAGGCUAUACAGACAAAAGUAAGUCAAGUUUCUUAUCUAAAGGCCAGAAAGCAAACUGUAUUUGAGUCUCCGGAAAUACCUAGCCAGAAUUCUUUUUCUGCUCCUUUUGGUAUUGAAAUAUUUUGGGGGCAUGGAAAUGAUCCUGACAGUAGACAGCUACUGCUUGCCCUCUGUAACUUCAUGCACAGAAUUUCAGUUCAUCAGAGGAUAAAGAGACCUCCAUACUCUUUAUUUACAACCACUUUCUUCCAGGGGGAAAAAGAAAAGAAUGCAGGAAGCAAAGUGGCCUGGUGAAACAAGCACAAAAUUUGACAUGAGAGGUAUUUUGACUUUCAUCUCAGCUGGCUUUUUACCAAUUGUCCAAUUCAGGCCAAGUCUGUGCCUACUUCACAGAGCUGUUCUAAAUUUCACAGAAUGUGGUUUUUUCCCUCAGGUCAUGGCACAUAGCCAGUCCUCCCCUUAUGCCCAAGCCCAUUCCAAUCAGGGAAUUCAGAAGGGCUUUUCAGAAAGAAUCAAACAGCCUUUGUGGUGCCAGAGAACCAGCCAGGUGUAUCUGUGGAACAGAGUAACUGGCAGCUGAAGCCAAAGGCUAAGAAGUACCUGAAUACUAAAUCGGGGUCAGGAUGCAUGUGGAGCAGAGAUUAAUGAAUGCUAAGAGCCAACAGACAGAAGAAGCCCUGGGAAGAAUUUCCUGCUUGGACCAGGAGAGGGACAGCCAAGCACAGUUGAAAAUAAAGGCCCAGUCUAUUUGCUGACAACAGGUGUGAUGAGCCAAGUAGAACAGAGAAGAGAUGCCCAAUCCCCUGCACAAGAUGGACACUAGAUGGAGAAAAGGAGCCAGAACACAGAUAACACUUGGAGAAUUGUUCAUCAGCACAUUUUUGUUGUUAUUAAUCCCAAAUUUCCGAGGUCCAGAGACACUUAUAUGACAACCCACAACCUGUGCAUUUGAACACUGAGACCUGGAUAACUAUGAGUAUAUGAAAUAGGGCAGGGGUAGUGAAUCUGUGGCACAUUUGCUGCAGCAGGCAUAUGCUUAUUAUCAUUGAAAUCUCUUAAAGGUUCUUGAUGAUUGACAAAGGGGAAAUCAGUAAAGGCAGAAAAUACUCUUGCUCUGGCACUGGUUUGGAGAGAAAGAAAGAAAGAAAGAACUAGGAGAAGCAGAUAACUAAGUCCAUAUGUCCUGAUCAGCUUUCUAUAGGACUAAGUUCCCAGGAGUGAAGGAUGUGGAGAGCCCAAAGUACAAAUGUUUUCCAGAUCCUUAUCUGGAGCCCUGGAAAGAGAUCAUGGUUCAGGGAGACCCAGAAACACCAAAGGGAUUGGAGAGCUAUAGAGUAUUAGCUAUUACUAGCUAUUAUUAACUAAUAGAGCAUUAGUUGUUUGACAAAGUACCUGAAAUAAAUAAGGAAAGAAAGAUGUAUUUUGGCUCUUUUCGGGGUUUUGGUCCACAAUCACUUAGCUUUAUUGACAUAGGCCCAUAGCAAGGCAGAUCGUAAUGGUGGGGAACAGAGAACAGAGCAAAGAUGCUCACCUGGCAGAGGCUGGGAAGCAGAAAGAGAGAAAUGAAGGAACCAGAGAAAAAAUAUGGACUUAGGAGAAAGCCCCAAGGGCCAACUUUCUUCAAACAAGCACGACUUCCUAGUUCCUACUGCUUCCCAAUAACCCAUUAAAUUAAGAAUCCAUCAGGGAAUAAAUCCAUUGAAAAAGUUGUACCUCUUAUAAUCCUAUCAUCUUCCAAAGGCUCCAGUUAUGCUAUGGUUACCUUGAGGACUGACCAUUUCAGAGGCAUUCAGACCCAAACCACAAUCAUACAAAAGCAGCAGUGAAGGAGGUGUCAGUACAUCCACCUGAGACUCACUCCUGGUUUCCAAAAGCAAGGAUGUGUGCCCAAGGAUGUGUACCUCACGGGAGAUGCAGAAAACCACUGGAAUCAAGUUUAGUUAUGUGCAGCCUAGAAGAUGGUACCAAGCUGUUCUUUCUCUUUUGCAUUCAGAGGUGCUGCAUAAAUCACAUAAGUCUGCCUGUCAGGUACAUUAACAGUGUCCCCCCUCUAUCUCCCUCUUUUUCCUCAAAGUAUCCUCCAACCUCUUUACAUCUCUACCCCUUAAUUGGCUACAGUGCUCAGAAGUGCCAUCAGUUUUUCCCUUUAUUGUCAUUGAGAUCUGAAAAACUUUGCGGUGAAGAAAAGAGCCAAGAUAAAUCUGAGAUUCUGGAGAUCCCACCCAAGGGGAAAAACAUUAAAUGAAAUAAUGAAAUGACAGUUCCCCCGUUCACUGUCAUCAGUGACAAAUUUUACAAGUACUUAAUUUAUCCCCUAAUGUUGGUCACUAUCAAAAACUUUAGUGAAUAACACAGUGAUGUCUGUUUCUUUUCCUCUCAAGGACUCAUGUUGUAUUUCCACAGAUAUGGAAAGGUAAGUGUUGAGAAUAAAACCCCACCCUCACCAUUAUUUCCUCUGCUUCUUCUAGUAAUUAUAGUGAAGAGAUUAGAAUCUUGUGGGAAAUGACCAAACACUGGAAUGCCAAGAUUGGUGAAGUAAGAAAAACUUCUAGAGAUAUGAAAAGGAAACACAACAGGAAUGUGACACGAGAGACCACCAAGGAGUCUGUGGGAAAAUCUAAUGCCUGUGGACUUGGGGCUUCUCAGUGACUCCCAGACCAUAGACGUGAUGGUUCUACCUUGUGAUAUGCUUAUCAGCCACUCCCUUGGUCAGCAAGCUAGAUGUGUGGGGGGAGGAGGAAAGUGUUUUCAACUUCUUCCUCUGGGAGGCAGAACAGACCCUGAGUUUUAAUUCCUCUUCUCCUUCCCAGUUGCUUUCAGUCCCUUCCCACAAGAACAGAGAAGUGCAUACUUCUGUCCAUGACACCUGCCCAUGGUCUCCAGUGACGCCACAGCCUUGAAGAGAAAGACUCACAAGAGUGAGGGAAGCCCUUGUUAACCUAAGAACUGAAGGAACAAUUAAAAGUUGGGAGAAAGUGUUUAUCCCCCCAGGGAACUUGGGACAGGAGAGAGCUGGCAUUGCAGAGGAGCUGUGGGUGGGGGGAGAAUGAGACAAGAACUCUCCAAGAGCAAGUAAUUACUCUCUGGGGAUUCCUGGGCUCUGAAAAGUUCUCAGCCAAGACUGACAAAGUAAAGUCACCCAGGAAGAGGAGGGGAACCAGCCUCAAUGGCUUCCUAGGCUAUGUGCUGCCUCCCCAUCCAAAAUGAAUCCUGUGCAUGAGUUGAGCACUCAUCCUUGAUGAGUCCCCCCACAGGGAGAGUUGAGAAGGGUUGAGGGUGUGGAGGGUGAUCUUUGUGUGAUGCCAGGGCUGUUUUAGACGCUCUAGUGUGCCUCUCACUGGUUGUCUUGGAAGCUCUUUGAAUUUCUCCCAUGACAGAUAAGAUGUAGCUCAUUGUGUUCAAGUCACUCAGUGGAGUCCUCACUCUUGGUCAGUAAGUCAAUCAACAGUCUAACUGAGAUGCUUUGUAUAUGUAAAUACAUACUUCCAAAAGUAAAGAAUAGAAGUCAAAAAACUGAAUGCUAUUUUCUUAGUCAUCUGGCACCUGUAUUGUGUUGGAGAUAAGAAGGAAUGGAGAAGGGUUGGGAUUGGUAUAAGAGCCAAAGAUAUAGACUUCCGCAUUCUCUUGAAAAAGAACUUGGUGAAUAUUAUCAGCCAACAAGGAGCAUGACUCCUAUGUAACUAAGGCAGGAUUGGACCCUAGUCUGCUAAAACCCUUGGUAUUAGGGAGCAUCCCAGUCAAAUAAUUAUCAGGAAAGGAAGGAGGCUUAUGUAUCUGAAAGCCACAUGCAUUUCAGUCUUAUCCCAAACGCUUUUCCCAUUUCUGCUGGUACAGCCCAUUGCCCUAGUCCCUUAAUCUCCAAAUUUCAAGUCCUAUCUCUUGGCACCACCCUUAAACAAUUGUGUGUGUGUGAUCUGAAUCCUUUGGUCCUAAAAUCCACUAACUCUUAAUAUUUUUUGGCCUACACUUCCUCUAGUUUUAUAUACUGAGUGAUCAAAAACCAAAGAAUUUUCUCUUUCUUUUGUAAAGCCUUAUAGUUUAUCUGUGUGUAUUCACUCAACACAAAUCUUAAGAGCUAUAAGAAUUGUUCAAGUUUACUUAGCCUAACUUGCUCUUCUGCAGUUGAAGAAAGUGGCUUCCAUAUAUAGCAGUUUACUCAAGAAUACAUAAAUGAUUUCUUAAUACAGGCUGAACCUCAGCUGUCCUUAUCUUAGUGUACCUUAAUCUGUAUCAACACUUCAACGAGCAAAGGCACUGGUUAUUUCUCUCUUCCACUUUACUAUUUCUGUGUAUCUGAUUCACCACUGACAUAAUCAGACUGGAUGUCUCCAGCUGCAGAAUGAUUAUCUAGUUUCCUCUGAGCUCUCUCUGAUGAGGUUAUGGUGUCUCACCCUCUUCUUCCUGCCAGGCCAAGCUCUUGGACAAGGACACAUGACAAUAUGGGUCCCAAUUUACACCAGCAACUGACAGUUUAUGAUACUUUUAAAAAAUGGAAUGAAAAUAUCUAAUUAUGAUAAAGGCUACCUAAAAAUUAAAAGUUUAUAACAUCUCAAUAAAAACAUCAAAACUGUAUUGGUAUAAAAGAGUGGAGAGUUUGUUCUGUGUGCAGAGCAUGGUCCUAUACAGUGUUUUUCAAACACCUAAGAAGAAUUUCUAUGGUUAAGUUAAUUAGAUGGUUUAGUUGAUACAAUUGCAAAAGAGCUUUAUGUCACAUGUUCUAUUGACCUACAAAGCACCUAUUUAUAUUGUUUCUUGUCUGCAUAUCAUUGGACAUAAUUUGCUUCUAUUAUGCAAACUUGCUCAGUAUAGUAACAAAAGUUCUCAAUUUUUACUCUUCUUACAAAGGACAUUUAUAUUCAUUUGUUCAUCUGAUUUCACUCAAAAUAUGAUGAGGUAGUGCAAUUAUCAUUCAUGCAUUUCAGAGGAAGAAGCUAAGCCUCAGGAACUUGCCCAUAACAAGGUAAGGAGGGAAGUGAAUUAGGACAUGGAUUCCUUGACUUCUCAUUGCGAGCUUUUUCUGCUCACACAGUGUGCUUCUCUAUAAGGCAACACAGCUGCCUCGAGCCUCCUGUCUAAGAUUCCACAGAUGCCUCCCUUUCUAGGCCACAUCCACUCAGCACUCCCCCCAGCCUCUCAUUGUGAGAGAUGAGAAAUGAAUACAGGCUUGAACCUUGUUUCAGCUUGAUCCAUGCACAUCUGACAGGCAAAUCACCUUACCCAUGUUCCUUGGUUCCCUCAUUUAGAAAAUGAAAGAGAUGGAAUGUUUGGUUUCUAUGGGUCUAUUCACUUCUUGCAGUUUUGAUCACUUUCUGGAGGGACUAUUGAUCCCUGACACCAACUCUGAGGGUGAGGAUUGCAUCUACAGUACAAAGUGGCCUACAGAUGGCAGCAGAUCCAAACUGAGUUACUCCUUUGCCUACUCAAGGGCAAGGCUCCGUGGGCAGCCACUGGCUCCCUGGCCAGUACUCAGAGUCCCAGCCACCUGCUCCCUGAGUUCUGACCCCACAACCUAAUCUCCACCCAGGAGAAUCCAAAGCCAGUUUCUAAGGUGACACCUUCUGGCCACCACAGGACAGAGCUGAUGGAAAGCAGGAGACUCUGGCUCCUUUCAGGCAUUCUGCUGUCUCCCUCCACGAUGAGAAAUCCAGCAACUAUUUCUAGCCAAGAGAACCCUCAACUGACUUACGCUUUUCAGUCUCUUGCAUUUGAUUUUGUUGUUCUGCUCUGUGUGCCUUAACACUGAUGUAUUGUAUUUGUCCUGUUUGAUUCUAGUGAUUUGCACAAAUGUGCUCUGGUUGGCUUCCUGCAGAUUUUUACCAAGGACGAAUUUUUAAAAUUUAUUUGAUUAUGUGGCACUGCUGAUAUUCUACACACAAAUUCUUCACUUUGAAAGAUGAGGUUACCUAGAGUUUGGUUCAAAAGCAUAAUACCUUAUAUCAUCAACAUAUUUUUCCAUAAAUGAAAAUAUUUACCAAUUAAAUUUUCUAACAGCCAAACAUCUGCCUAGAAGUUAUAUUGCUAUUAAGAAAAACUGAUGGUCCUUAAUACAAUGUUUCUAGAGAACCAGUAAGCAAGCUGGGAGGGAGAAGACCCAAUGUCACCCUGACUGAACAAAAUCCACACAGUUUGAAAUUAAGUCCUUAACCAUCACUUGAUGUUCAGUAGUUGAACAUGAAUGUCACUGUUUUCCAGAUACUCUUAGUACAUCCUUUUUAAACAUUUUGUUGAAUAUCUAAAAAUUCACUUCCCUCUCAGUAUAUGAAGUGUACCCUACUGAGAAGUAAGAAAUAGCUACAGUGAUAAUGUAAUUACACAGCUUCAAAUUUAAUUAGCCAAGUAUUAACCUUGCUCUUCUCCCUGUUAGCAUAAUUACUUUAACUGAUAUUUUAGUAAUUAUUAAUUUAAUCUCUAUCUCUUGUUAAAUUAUAACAACCAAGGUAAUCAAGACCCAUGCGUAUCUCCCUUUGUGGCUCACAGUCAGGUACCAGGAGUCUAGCUCAGUUCCUGACACACAACAGCACCAUGGGUCGAAUGGAUGUAAGUUGCAUCUGGACUGAUGGUGAAAUGAGAAGACGUGACAGGACUCCUUUCUAAACAGUGAGGAAGACUGAACCCAAGAAAGCACGAAGAGCAAAUGAAUGCAGACUUCAGAAAUGACAUCCACAACUUCAGGGUCCCCUGUUGUUUCCGUGUAUCUGGCCACAACACUGUACCUACAUCUAUCCCACACUGAAGGAUCCUUCCUUUCUUUCCUAUUGUCCAUAUUUCUUCUUAACUUUCUAAUUUUCCAGCUUUCUUUGCUUU